GCAGCACCCAUCCCUUCCCAGGUCCCUGAACCCCAUCGUCAAGAACAGGGAGGAAUCUAGACAACAGGGAAAAAACGAAAGGUCAGCUCUGAGUUUGGCAAGAGGGCAAAGGUGCUCCGACCUGCACAUCAGGGCUCCUCCCCUGCCGCCACCAUUCCCACAGCUGGACAUCAGGCACAGCAACUUCCUAGAUCUUCUUAAUCUCAUAUUCCUAACUAUACUGACUUGUCCAUGCAUGUUCCUAAACAAAUGUGCUUGAUCACUGGCCGGAGAUAACUAGCUCGCCCAACAAUAAUUCUCUUACACAGAGCUUUUGGGAAAUAAGGCUUGCAUUCUUGAACUGAGGUGAUCUUUCUGUCUUAAUUGCUUUUCAGCAGACUACAAACUGUAAUCUUUCCACUUAAAAGGUGUGCACCCUGAGAAAUAAAUCCAAGCAAUGCACCAUCCGUACUGAAAACUUUGUUAAUUAACCAUCUUGACUACAUCUUUGUGACCAAGUUUCUCAUUGCAGUAAAAGAUUUUAUGCUAGUUAAUUAGAGCUACUGAAGGUUUGAGCAUGUAUCAACUACCAGUUGGGUAUGGAAAACCUUUUUACAUCAUGCAGUGAAUGGCUAGUAACUGCCUAUGCCUUCAAAUAAAUUGGAUGUAGUGGACAGUUUUGAUAGCAGUUAACUUGCAUGCAGUUUACUUUUUCUUUAGUGAACAAGGAGUUGCCUAAACUUGUAUUCCAACUGGGCUCAUUUUCGCUUCCAGUUUGCUGAUCAUUGAUUUGCAGUAGUAGGGAGUCCUUUGGACCGCAUUUCUUCAGAUCACAAGAACAGGAGCCUUGAAAGAGCAGCCUAGUUGAAGAUGGUAUUUCAAAAUGGUAGAUGUUAGACUGCAAUCGAAGAAGCUGCAGCAGCAGGAUUGCUAAGCCACGUAGAAGGAAAAAUGAGGAGAAAAAGUGAUUCCAAGUACAGUGCUAAUAGAUUAGUGUGGUUCUGUAAUGUAAUCCAUUUUAGUCUUUCCGAGCACUUGCCGAUGUCAUCAUCGGAUGCUGAAGUAUAGUUGUAACACAUAUUUGGAUUUCGAUUUAUGGUGUUGCAAAAUCUGGAACA